rnacentral:rRNA from 1 species
AAGGGCUCGCAGGCGGUUUCUUAAGUCUGAUGUGAAAGCCCCCGGCUCAACCGGGGAGGGUCAUUGGAAACUGGGGAACUUGAGUGCAGAAGAGGAGAGUGGAAUUCCACGUGUAGCGGUGAAAUGAGUAGAGAUGUGGAGGAACACCAGUGGCGAAGGCGACUCUCUGGUCUGUAACUGACGCUGAGGAGCGAAAGCGUGGGGAGCGAACAGGAUUAGAUACCCUGGUAGUCCACGCCGUAAACGAUGAGUGCUAAGUGUUAGGGGGUUUCCGCCCCUUAGUGCUGCAGCUAACGCAUUAAGCACUCCGCCUGGGGAGUAC